GUGGUAGUGGCUCAAGUGGUUAAAAUGCUGACUGUUGAUCAGCAGGUUGGCAGUUCGAGACUUCCCAGCUUCU